rnacentral:rRNA from 1 species
GAGACGCUGGCAGCGUGCUUAACACAUGCCAGUCGAACGAUGAAGCAUUCUUCGGAAUGUGGAAGAGUGGCGAACGGGUGANGAACACGUAAGAAUCUAGCCCUCGGUCGGGGACAACUCUUGGAAACGAGAGCUAAUACCCGAUACGCUGUGGAGUGAAAGAAUUUUGCCGAGGGAUGAUCUUGCGUCUGAUUAGCUAGUUGGUGUGGUAAUGGCACACCAAGGCGACGAUCAGUAGCUGGUCUGACAGGAUGAACAGCCACAUUGGAACUGAGACACGGUCCAAACUCCUACGGGAGGCAGCAGUGGGGAAUUU